UCAUAAAUGCUGCCUGGGUUGGGACUCACCCUUCAUUUAGUGAGCUUCUGGUCCAGCUACCCAGAGAUGCUCUCCACACCACACCACUGCUGCCAGAGAGUGAAGAAGAGGUGGCGUUGGUGAUUAAGGACUUCUUCUAUUUCUUCAGUUCUUCUUUCAGCAAUAUAAAACUAAAACCAGCCUCGUGAGACCUUGAGCAGAGGACUCAGCUAAGCAAUUUCACCAUUCCUGAUCCAAGGAAACAGUGGACUAAUAAAUGUAAUGUUUUAACUAAGUUUGUGGUAAUUUAUUAGGUUGUAACCAAAAAAAAAAAACCUGGUA
rnacentral:lncRNA from 1 species